rnacentral:misc_RNA from 1 species
AACGCACGAGACCUGCGGACCUGCGGAAGGAUCAUUAAUGUGAAGCUGCCCCUCGUGGGUAGACCUCCCACCCUCUGUGAACUUACCUUUGUUGCUUUGGCAGGCCCGUCCUCUGGACCGCCGGCUUCGGCUGGCCCGUGCCUGCCAGAGGAUUCCAAACCCUGUCUGUCAGUGUUGUCUGAGUCUAUAUGAAAUCGUUAAAACUUUCAGCAAUGGAUCUCUAGAUCGGAAGAGCACACG